AUCGAGGAAAAAACGUUUGAAGAUUGUAAAAAGCUGAAAACCCUGUAAGUACAUUUGUUGUUAUGUACAUUUAUGUUGACCUUAUCCAAACAAAGUUUUGAGGAUAUUAAAUUCAUCAUACGUUAUCUAAUGUCAGACAGCUUUUAUCGGUCACAUUAACAGUCUAUAACGCAUUCGCUACCGAUCGUCUUGUUAUGGGUCGACUAGUUCUAACCUUUGAAUAUUUGCAAUAUCCCUUUAAAUUACACUUUUGUAGAGAAAUUAAAAACAAAGUCGAUACAUUUAUUAUUUAAUUGUUAGUAAAAAAUGUUUUAUUGAAAUAUCUUAAGCAUCGAUCAAACCUUUCCGGAUAGCACGAACUGACGCCUAACGGAUGACAAUAAACGAUGUCCGUUGACAAAAUUGUUAUACGAUUGGAGUCCGUUGAUGUACUGACCGAAUACAACGGACGUGUAACGAAUACUUGAGGGACACACGCCGGAUAUGCAACGUACGAGCAACGGAAACGUUCCGGACAGAACGGAUGCCGAACAUUCAUCCAACGGACGAGUAACGCAUAAAACGAACACCUAACGGAAGCGUACCGGAUAAAACGAAUGAACAAGCUAUACAGAAAAAAAGGCGACAAUAAUAAAUCGCAUAAAUUCAAAAUGUUUCUGCGAUUUUUUGUUCUUACCGCAAAAUGGCAGUGUAUGGUCGGAUAAGAGCUGCCUGAUUGACGACGUGUCCUUACUCUAAGAUCGAUUAUGAAUAAAAUUCAUGAACCUUAAGAAAUCUGACAAACCAAUAAUUGACAUUUCUGCGAAAUUCAAUUGGCAUUUAUCCGUUUCAGAUCCGUUAAUCAUCCAAUGAGGUUAUAUGUAAAUUCCAAGGGACAUCUUGAGUUAUGUGAUGUACUACUGUGUUUGAUAUGUAGUAUAAUAAAGAUAACGCAAUUCAAAUCUACAAGCAUAAAACUUAUACUGCUUAUCCAACUUAUCUUAUAAAUAUCAACACAUAUUUUACUUUACGCAUUGUUUACUAUGGUAUAAUAUGUUUGAAAGUAAUCGUGUGACCUACCUACAGUACUUACAACCUGUUGCAUUACUGUUGUAGAGAUUUGUCAGCAGUUAUCGAUCAGUCACCGAUCAUUCAAAUCCGUGUCAAACUCACACAUAUAUCAUACUUAUACGGAUACUCUUUGACUGUUGAAACCUUUCGGAAGAAUUGACCUUUCUAAUGGUUUGAACUCUACUGGGUAACUUGUUGAACUAUAGCCAAUAAAGUCAUCUAAUUUCGUUGCCUAUUUCACUGAACUAGUAUAAAUUAUUGAUUAGGAACCAGAUGAAUCUCAGUUAAGGGAUUAUCUAGCCCAUUGGUGGUCUGAUGCUGUUUUCUGCUCUGAAUUCGGGUUGGAGUCAUAUUAAAGCAUUCCCCGGUUUAUUUCCAAUAUCAUACAAAAGGUUUUAUGUCUUUAUAUGCAGUACGAUAUACUUGUAUGUUCGAUUGAAAAGAAAAAAAGACUAUAUAAAGUAUUAUUUAUUUCAGAGAUCUCAGCGUGAACCUUAUUGAAUAUAUACAACCGACAACAUUUAAGAAUUUGACAUCCCUACAAGUAUUGUGAGUUGUUAAAUAUCAUAUUUUGUAUCAGUAAAACUAACAUUUAAUACCGUUCACAGUACCAAUUGUACAUCACCAAAUAUGCAUUAUAUAGUUAAUGACCCUUUCGUGAUGCUAGAGGCCAAAAUCUGUAAACGUCAAGGCAUACAAGCAUAUUUGAGGAGCGAAUACAGCAAAAGAAUACAGCACAACAAGAAAAAUAAAAAGUGCAAAUGUUAAAUAUAUGAAAAGUCAAGAGAGUAUCCCUUCCCCCAAAAUUUCAAUUGAUCAUAUCUCAAAAAGAAGUACACGUACCUUUCAUUUAGCUCUGUUUAUAAAUUCAGUUUUCUGAAUACUAUCAAUUUAUGACAAAACUUUACGAACUUUGUUAAUUUGUAUGAUAGAGGCAAUCGUCCUUUUUAAAUAUGCACGUUUUUAAGCGUUUUAACAACAUAUAUUGCUGUAUAUCGCAUUUUAAACCCAACAACUUAUUUUUUUGCCUUAAUGAACACUGUUAUGGAUAAAGAUAAUCCCAAACUAGCAAAUACAUGUGUAAUACCUCGGAAAAAUCUACAAAUGAGUCGAAAUGAUUACGAUGGUUAUCCUCUAUUUCGUUGUCACUCACUCACCCUCGUUUGAUGAAUAGGAUACAAUGUAUUCAUUUUUCUUUCAUUAAAAGGAUGGUAAGGUUACUGUCAUAGAUGGUGCUGCAAUAUCUCAACAGUAAUAUUAACAGAUCUUGAGGUCAAUAAACAAGCUUCGACGAUAGUAAACAGUCAACACGUAUAUUACAAAACAGAACGUAGACCACUUGCAAUUACAUUUUACCAGGAACAAUGUUAAAACAACUUUCUAGAUAGCUAGUUCGUAUAUCUAGCGAGAAUAAUCAUAUAUACGAAUGUAGACUACGUUUUUUUAAACAUUACAAAUGAGUCAAGAAAACAUUUAGUUUACGUAAGCCUAGCAGGAAUACAAUCAAAGAGCUGUAUAUCUUCUUGGGAAACGAUUUAUUCACAUGAGUACAGUACUUGCAACCUUAGGCGUUACUAUUUCAGCGAUCAGUCAACGGUCAUCGAUCAGUCACCGAUCAGUCAAGUUCGCGUCAAACUCACGUCAGCAAUCCGUCAGACUUAUAGUAAAAGUAAUUGACUGAUCGGACUGAUCGGACGGAUAGUACCGAUCGACCUUGAUGACGGAUUGAACUUGAAUACGUCACAUGAUAAACUAAUACAAAUUACGAAAUCUCAGUUUCGUUUAAUCUAAUUAAAAUGGCGACUAUUGAAAAUCGAACGUUCAAUUAUACAUUUUGUUUAUUAACUAUUUAGCAAAGUUUUAUGAAUUGAAAUGAAAAGAAAUGUACAGAUAAAACCUAAAUUAAAAUAUCAUCAUUAAAGAAUGGUCUUUUUCGUUUUAUUUAGGUUAUAUAUUUUCAAAACCGGCGAGUUCUAAAACGGUGUCUACAUCGCGGUUUUUAUUUUAUUAUUUUCCAAACAUUCUCGGGAAAAACAAAAUGAAAGAAUCAGUUGUUGAAAAAUGUAGUCUAUUUUUUUCAAUAUUUUAAAUUUUUGUAUCCUUAUCAUCAUAAAAUUCUUAUAAAAAACUUAUCAUAAUCACGGACUUACUAUAUUCUCGUCACAAUCGAAGCAUUUCAAAUAACAAAUUAUAAAAAUAACUGCUGUAUUUUUUAACAAGAAACAGAAAUAAUUUUAAACAAUGCAAACAACAUUACAUUAUAUUUUUCUGAGAGUCUUUUUUUAAUCAAAAAGAUAACUACUCCUAAACAAUAAAAAGUACAUCAUUACAUCUCAAUUCUAAUUAGCACACUUGUCUCCAGAUGGUAAAAUAACUGAUUUCAAAUAAAAUAGUAUCAUCUUUAAUAAAAAGAAGAAUAAUUUUGGUUAUUCUAAACAAUGCGAAUAAAAUUUUAGUAUGAUUUCUCUGACAUUCCUUUAAUUUUAUGAACAAAAAAACCAUUUCAAACCAAGGACUAUACAAAUCCUUGUUCAAACUAUAAAAAUUACAAAAUCCAAUGGCGGUCAAUAAUUUUCAGUAAAAUGAAGAAAUAUUUGCAUUUUACGCAACGCGUACAAAAAUUUAAUAUCUUUUUCCUUAAAGUAAGCAUGUUUUAUGAGGAACAGCCAAUCCUGAUGUACAAAAAGUAAUGAAAUCAUAUGACGAUUAUUAAUUUGUAUCAAAAUAAAUCAAUAACUGCAUUCUUAUUCCACAAAAAUAAAAGUUUAAGUAUUUUAAUUCUCAUUAUAUCUCAAUUCUAAUUAGAAGACUUGUCUCAAGAUGGUAAAAAUAACUGAUUUCAAAUAAAAUAGUAUCAUUUUUGAUAAAAGAAGAUUAAUUUUGAUUAUUUUAAACAAUGCGAACAAAAUUUUGGUAUGAUUUUUCUGAUAUUAUUUUAAUUUUAUGAAAACAAAACCUAUUCUAAGCUAUAAAAAGUACAAAAUUCCAAUGGCGGUCAAUAAUUUUCAGUAAAAGGAAAAAAUAUUUGCAUUUUAGGCAACGCGUACAAAAAUUUAAUAUCUUUUUCCUUAAAGUAAGCAUGUUUUAUGAAGAACAGCCAAUCAUGAUGUACAAAAAGUACUGAAAUCAUGUGACGUUAUUAUUUGUAACAAAAUAAAUCAAUAACUACAUUCUUAUUCCACAAAAACAAAAGUGUAAGUAUUUUAAUUCUCAAUAUAUCUCAAUUCUGAUUAGAAGACUUGUCUCAAGAUGGUAAAAAUAACUGAUUUCAAAUAAAAUAGUAUCAUUUUUAUAAAAAGAAGAAUAAUUUUGAUUAUUUUAAACAAUGCGAACAAAAUUUUAGUAUGAUUUUUUCUGAUAUUAUUUUAAUUUUAUGAAAAAAAAACUAUUCUCAACUAUAAAAAGUACAAAAAUCCAAUGGCGGUCAAUAAUUUUCAGUAAAAUGAAACAAUAUUUGCAUUUUAGGCAACGCGUACAAAAAUUUAAUAUCUUUUUCCUUAAAGUAAGCAUAUUUUAUGAAGAACAGCCAAUCAUGAUGUACAAAAAGUACUGAAAUCAUGCGACGGUUAUAUUAGUAUCAAAAUAAAUCAAUAACUACAUUCUUAUUCCACAAAAAAAUAAAAGUGUAAGUAUUUUAAUUCUCAUUAUAUCUGAAUUCUGAUUAGAAGACUUGUCUCAAGAUUGUAAAAAUAACUGAUUUCAAAUAAAAUAGUAUCAUUUUUGAUAAAAAGAAGAAGAAUUUUGAUUAUUUAAACAAUGCGAACAAAAUUUUAGUAUGAUUUUUCUGAUAUUCUUUUAAUUUAUGACAAAAAAACUAUUCUUCAAUAUAAAAAGUACAAAAAUCCAAUGGCUGUCAAUAAUUUUCAGUAAAAUGAAGAAAUAUUUGUAUUUUAGGCAACGCGUACAAAACUUUUAUACCUCUUUCCUGAAAGUUAGAUUAUUCUAUGAAGAACAGCCAAUCAUGAUGUACAAAUAGUACUGAAAUCAUAUGACGGUUAAUAAUUUGCAUCAAAAUAAAUCAAUAACUGCAUUCUUAUUCCACAAAAAUAAAAGUUUAAGUAUUUUAAUUCUCACUAUAUCUCUAUUCUGAUUAGAAGACUUGUCUCUAGAUGGUAAACAUUACUGAUUUCAAAUAAAAUAGUAUCAUUUUUAAUAAAAAGAAGAAUAAUUUUGGUUAUUUUUAACAAUGCGAAUAAAAUUUCAGUAUGAUUUCUCUGCCAUUCUUUUAAUUUUAUGAAAAAAAAACUAUUCUAAACUAUAAAAAGUACAAAAAUCCAAUGGCGGUCAAUAAUAUUCAGUAAAAUGAAGAAAUAUUUGCAUUUUAGGCAACGCGUACAAAAAUUUAAUAUCUUUUUCCUUAAAGUAAAAUUAUUUUAUGAAAAACAUCCAAUCAUUAUGUACAAAAAGUACUGAAAUCAUAUGACAGUUAAUAAUAUGCAUCAAAAUAAAUCAAUAACUACAUUCUUAUUCCACAAAAAUAAAAGUUUAAGUAUUUUAAUUCUCAUUUUAUCUGAAUUCUGAUUAGAAGACUUGUCUCAAGAUGGUAAAAAUAACUGAUUUCCAAUAAAAUAGUAUCAUUUUUGAUAAAAAGGAGAAUAAUUUUGAUUAUUUUAAACAAUGGGAACAAAAUUUUAGUAUGAUUUUUUCUGACAUUCUUUUAAUUUAUGAGAAAAAACAAUUCUUAAAUAUAAAAAGUACAAAAAUCCAAUGGCGGUCAAUAAUUUUCAGUAAAAUGAAGAAAUAUUUGCAUUUUAGUCAAUAAUGUCUAUGCAUCCGGCAAGCCGGACAAAUAGCAUUUUUUACGGUUUUUCGCUAUUUGUCCGGCCAAAAAUAUAAUGAUGAAGAUAUAACAUCGUGUUUUGAAGGUUUUUAAUAAAGCACGAGUUGUUUUAAUUGAUAUUGUCUAACAUAUUUUUAUAAAAAAAGAAGUCAUUCUAAAAAAAAAAGAAAUAAACUAUACAUUUGAUUCAGACUUUUUUAUUCUAAUAUUCUAUGUGCGCAUAUAUUUUUUUAGGAAUAGGGCUUUAAAAAUAGUGGUUUAAUGUGCAUGGUCUUUUGUAUUCCAAUAUAUUGAUUCCAGUCAUAGUUUUGUGUAUCAAUAUGCAAUGGCUUUAUUUAAUAUACAUCAUACAAUCAAAUUUAUGAUAAAAUUUCGACUCUUUUCACAUUUUUUUUAACGGUAAUAAUUCUUAUUUGUCUGUCUUGAAAAAGAUUGCCAUCCAUCCCUCCAUUUUUUUGGGUACUGAGGGAGGGAGGGGGAAUGAUUCUCUCUUUUGUUGUUCUGCAUAUGAAUUUCCUGUAAAGUAAAUAGUCGGGCCAAUCAUUAUUGGCUUCAUCUAUGAUUCUAAAAGAUCCUGAAUUUAUUGUUUCUGUGAAGUUUGGUUAAAGUAAGGUCCUCAUAUGAUUAUCAGUGCACAAUUCUUCACUUAAAUUGUUCGGCGAUUUUUAAUUCAUAGGAAAUUAGAGAAAAUGGUAGGCACGUGUAACCUGUCCCCAAAAGUAGCAUUGUGUUUUCGAUAAGAUUUGUUUUAGAAAAAAAAUGUAUAUAAUAAAUAUUUAGAUACAACCAAAAAAAGGGGGGAUCCCCAACCCUAGUGUCUUAUACCCAGUCUCGGCAUAUCAGUAUGUUCAUAGAUCUCCGUUGUAGUAUAACUUGAAAAUAAUGCAUCCAAGCAAGUUUAAUUGAUAUAAUAUUUUUUCCGAAUGCGUUUUGCCUCCAUAAGGUAGUUGGGUAAAUCAUCAAUUUCACUUUAAUUUCAGGCUUAUUCCUCACAGUUAACAUGCAUACGCUAUUGUUCUGGAAUCACUCCUAUAGACAUUUGUUUAAAGCAAUCACAUUCUCUCUGGUUUUCUCUAUGACAUCUUUAAAUAUUAAUCACGAUCUCCAAUUCUCAAAACGUCCAUUGCAUACGCGCGUGUGUUAUCCGACACCGCGUGUGUUAUCCGACACCGCGUGUGUUAUCCGACACCUCAUCCGGGACACUUUCCGCGUCACACGAUACUUUAUUGAUAUUGAAGAUUUGCGCAUCCGCAGACAGAUGGCCGGACGAAUAGAGAUUUUUAACUAUUCGUCCGGCUAGCCGGACGAAUAGACAAUCCGUUAAUAAUUUGCAUCAAAAUAAAUCAAUAACUGCAUUCUUAUUCCACAAAAAUAAAAGUUUAAGUAUUUUAAUUCUCACUAUAUCUCUAUUCUGAUUAGAAGACUUGUCUCUAGAUGGUAAAAAUAACUGAUUUCAAAUAAAAUAAUAUCAUUUUUAAUAAAAAGAAGAAUAAUUUUGGUUAUUUUUAACAAUGCGAACAAAAUUUUAGUAUGAUUUCUCUGCCAUUCUUUUAAUUUUAUGAAAAAAACUAUUCAAAAUAUAAAAAGUACAAAAAUCCAAUUGCGGUCAAUAAUUUUCAGUAAAAUGAGGAAUUAUUUGCAUUUUAGGCAACGCGUACAAAAAUUUAAUAUCUUUUUCCUUAAAGUAAAAUUAUUUUAUGAAGAACAGCCAAUCAUAUGACAGUUAAUAAUAUGCAUCAAAAUAAAUCAAUAACUGCAUUCUUAUUCCACAAAAUUAAAAGUUUAAGUAUUUUAAUUCUCAUUAUAUCUCAAUUCUGAUUAGAAGACUUGUCUCAAGAUUGUAAAAAUAACUGAUUGCAAAUAAAAUAGUACAAUAUUUGAUAAAAAGAAGAUUAAUUUUGGUAAUUCUAAACAAUGGGAACAAACUUUUAAUAUCAUUUCUUUGACAUUCUUUUAAUUUCAUGAACAAACAGCCUAUUCGAAACUAUUAAAAGUUCAAAAAUCCAAUGGCGGUCAACAAUAACCAUUUUCGUAGAAAUAAGUUCAUGUUAACUGAGUCAUAUAAUACAAUUAUGUAUUAUAUGUCUCUGAUGUUUAUAAUAUUUAAUACGAAAAUAUUAACCAACACAAACAAUUUAACGCUCUAAUUAAGCAUCUUAUUCUGUUAAACUAUUUUUACUUUUUUAUUCCAACUAAUUUUAUUACAAAUUAUAACGUGUAAAUUAAGGUGUCUUCGUAGAGGUCCGCGUUCAUCGAUUGUCAACACCGUGGAGUUCGGUUUACAUAAGAAUUUUAAAUAUAUACGUCUCCGUCCGAUCCGUGCAUAAAUUUAAUUUACUGAUCGAUCGGUGACAGUUGUCAGGGUAACUCUUACAUAGGUAAUUUGACUUAUCUCACGGAUCCUAUGGGUCACCGAUCACCGAUCACUCAUCGAUCAGUCAAACAUCCGUCACCGAUCAUUCACCGAUCAGUCAAGUUCACGUCAAACAGUAACGCCUAAAGUUGCAAGUACUGUAUGAUUGCAUGUCUGGGAUUUACCAGCCCAGUAUUCAGCACUCCGGUGUUGACAUGAAUAUCAAUUAUAUGGUCAUUUUUAUAACUUUCCUGUAACAAAACUUUGCUUUUAUCGAAAACCUAAGGAUUUUUUAAUUCCAAGAAUAGAUUACCUUAGCUGUAUUUGACACAACGUUUUGGAAUGUUGGGUCCUCAAUGCACUUCAACUUUGGGACAACUGUGUGCUAUAAGACAUUUGCGGAAACUGUCAUACACCUACAAUUAGGAUUACACUUAUACUUACAGGUAGCAUUCGAAUCUUUGGAUUUCUCAAAGUGUAAAAAUAAACCGUCAAUCCAAAACAAUGUAACGAUAGGGAUGUUUUUCUGUAGUUUAUCUUUUUUAAAUAUAUGUGCAGCAAUAUGUUAACAUUAUUUAUUGUUUACGGUGUUAUCCGAAGUUGAAAAUGCUGAAAAACAUGAGGCGCACAAAAUAUCGCAAUUGUUGUUGCAGUUGAUAGAUAGGGACAGUUGCUGAAAAAAGUCAGCAAUACUUUGUAAACGCGUAAAAAAGGUGCAAUCAACCAUGGAUCAUGUUAGCAUGUUUAUGCUAAUACAUGCUUUCUUUCUUUUAUUUUGUUUUAAAGAGAAUGAAAAAAUACCGCGGACGGGUUUUUUCAGCUAUUUAUUCUUCAUGGAAUUUUACUUGUUGUUCGGUAUUGUUUUGAAAUAAUUUUUUUUUCUUGAAUAGGACAAACACUUUUGUCUACGUUUUUGGUUUCAAUAGAAAAAAAAAUCACAACUACUCGAAAAAAAACACAAAAAAAAACAGUUAUCGACGAACUUUUCUGUGUAGGAAAUAUAUUUUAGACUGUGUUCGCCAGACUGAGUUGAAAUAUAAAAUAUCUGUUCUCAAAUAGUUAAAACUUUGCUAUCUAUGUUUUCAACAGCAACACACAGAAAACGACAACGAGUUACAAGUUUGUUUUUUUUUUCAUGCAAUUAUUUUAAAAAGAUCUUGGGAAUCAUCAAGUAUGGACGGCAAAAGAGGGUGUUCCAACACCCGGAACAAAUGUCCCUUGAUCUCUCACUGCGACGUUGUUCCUUUCAACACAAAUUUAUACGCAAAUAUAUUCAAUUGAUAGUUAGAGAUAAAAUAUUCAAACGUAUAGCAGGCGAGAAGAAAUUGUUAAAAUACAUCUAUCUACACAUUCGGCCUUAUCAAUCCUUGUCUUCAAAUAUUCGGCUGUGUGCGGUCCUGAUGCUAAAUACAGAAAAGCGCUUUGGACACAUGUAAUUUAACAUUUUGCAUUCAUCUUUUUUUUUUCUUUUUUUUUCUUUUUUUUUUCUUUUUAUAGAAGACACCUUUUGAUAUUUUGUAUAUGUAUUAUUGGUUUGUUUUGUAUUUUGAUAUGACCCCUUGUUUUGUCACCUGUAAUUGUAAGUCUAACGUGUAAUCCUAUGCACAGACCUAGUUUCCGCAAAUGUUUAUAAGAAGAGAGCUAUACGCUAUAUUACUUUGGUUGUGUUAAGAGUAGUUACCAAAAGUACCAGGAUUAUUACGCUAGAUUACUUUGGUUGUGUUAAGAGUAGUUAUCAAAAGUACCAGGAUUAUUACGCUAGAUUACUUUGGUUGUGUUAAGAGUAGUUAUCAAAAGUACAUUUGAUUAACAUCUACGUGAAAUGUCAUUUUAUUGAUCUUUUAAAUCUAUUAGUUUAUUUGCCUGUUAUUAAAUUUGUGCAGUUAUAAAGAGGAUGAACACAUUCCAAUUGUAUAAUCUUUUCUUUUAGACAUUUGUAUGACAAUAAACUAUCUACAAUAGAACCGUUCACUUUUAUAAAUCUGCCAAGUCUUCGAGAUUUGUGAGUAUAUGUUUAGUAUUUAUUUAAAUUGCAAUCGACGAAAAACCUGACAGCGUAUGGAUGUUAUCAAAUAUAAGUUAACGUAAGGCCUUCACCAUUGUAUGAAACAUAUACAACAAAGACAGCUAUAAAUGCUACUGACGUAAUCUGAAAAAAAUAAAGCAAGAUAUCAAGCAGCCUAUUUUAAGAUAAAACAGCAAACGAAACACAAAACGUUUAACUACGCCCUUACGCCAAGUACACAUAUCCUGGAUACAAUAUGGUUAUAAUUUUCGUUAAGCUGCUAUCUAUUUAUGAAUUCAUUCGAAUUGACAAUAAUCGUUUACAUAAAGUUAUUGACCUUAAAUGAAUCAGAGUAAUAAAAAGGGUCCCUUAACAAAUACAUAUUUGUAUUAAGAACAACUCUACGUUCAUAAUAACGGUUUUUGCACACGUAUAAAAAAAUUAUUUGUUACCUUUUUCUGCAUAAUUAUGAUUACUGUCUUUUCGAAUUUCCAAGUAUGUUGAUCUGUUCACGUAUAGUAUAAAGAAAAUAACAAAUACUAGGUAUUUUUCAACACACAACAUAGUUUGCAUACUUAAUGUGUUGAAACUGUGUUCGUGCAUAUACUUUAACUUUCAAAAAUGAUAUGUGCAUGUAUACACUAAGUUAAGUAUACUCUAUUUACAUUACAGACAUUUAACUCGGAACAGUAUUAGUCAUAUCAGGGAGCAGGCAUUUGGGUACUUACCUUCACUGUCUCAAAUG
rnacentral:lncRNA from 1 species